UGUGUGUAUGUCAAUGUUUUGUCUAUAUGUGCCCUGCCAUUUACCAGUGACCAUCCAGGGUGUAGACGGCCUCUUGCCUGACCCUGGUGAGGAUCCGUGCAUAAUAAUAAUAAUGUGCUACGUUUCUCCUCUCUGUAAAGAUCACCAUACCUGCCAAUACUGCAAAACAAUAACGCCGUUAAUAACGUGGAGGUGCCAGAACCUUCCCUUUUAAUGCCCUUCGGCUGAUACUGCUGGAACCGUUCUAUGUUCAGAACCCCAACAUUCCCAGAAACCAUGUGGAGCAUCCUGGAAGGAAGGGCCUGGAAGGCGUCGAGUGCCAGAUGGACCAUGUGCUCAUCUGGUGGAGGAGGCAAACAGAGCAUGAUGAGAGGCUAAAAGAGGGAGGAAGUCUCCCAACUACAGAAGGCUGAACAUGUGACGCUCAACCACGCAACCACCCAAAGCGAGGUCAAGAUGUCGGGGGGGGGGGGGGGUCCAGGCCAAGGAGGCCUCAGAGUCUCUUGGAGCCUUGCCCAGACCCUUGCUCCAGUGGCCCCCAGAUGACAACCGCUGAAAGAAGGCGACGACGUACCUAAUGACACCCGAGCAGGGACGGCCCUGCGGUCGAUCCAGAACGACACCCAGGACAGCAUGACCAUGAGCGUGGCGGGGAAGUACGUCUGCAGCAGGAAAAAGAAGAUGUAACGCCGCAAUGUGAAGUUGAUGUACAGGCGGUUGUACCAGCCUGGGGACAGAAACGCUAAUCUGGAUGUUGUGUGAAACUUCUGGAUGAGGAACUGAGACAGAGAAAUCCUGUCGUCGGUACUCAGGGACUCGUCGCCGCUUUUCCAGUACAGCAUCAGGUCUUCAUCUGUGUAAGCAUCUGCAAAAACACAACACUUUGGAUGCUAGCCAUUCCAGUAACGGCAAUUGGAUUACAAACACAUAAUAUCUUACAUAACAUAUAACGUCGUAAUAAGCACGGCUGCUCUACUCGCCCAUUGACCUUUUGUUCACUACUACUACUACUACUACUACUAUUACUAGCCAAACCGCUAGUCAAUAAGAUUGGUAAUGGUAAUGGUUUUAUUUCAUUUGAACAUGCAUCAGAUUACAAUUGAAUGCAUCCCAUAAUCAGUUCCCAGUUGCAUUUGUUCACUUCCUGCUUUCCUAAUAUAGCUUAUGUUGUUUUUUUGUGUUUUGUUUUUUAAAAAAAAAAAAUUUCACGUACCGAAGUAAGAGGUGAUAUGACCAUUGCACUGCGCAAUCAAGGGGAAAACACUGCCCCCCGGCGUUUUGGUAGAGAAUUGCAAGUCACUACAUGAAUACUUACAGCUCUCCAGCUCCAGGGUGCAUGUCUGGGAAUCCAACGGAAAACGACUGAAAUCCAUGUUGCAUGCGGCCGUCACUGUAACCCUGCAGAAUGGGGAAAAAAAAAUCAUUUUCAUGGGAGUGGGGAAUCAUGUUGGAUGGUAUUAAUUACUCUUAAGACAAAUAAGUACAGUCGUCCCUUGGUUAGCGCGGUUAAUUGAUUCCAGACCCGACAGUGAUAAGUGAAUUUCCACCAAGUAGGAUUCAAUAUUAAUAAAUUGAAUAUUUUGGUAGUUAGAGCAUAGGAAACCUGUUUAUGCCUUUCUACAUAUGCUUUUUAACAUUAGUAGAGUCCUGUAAACAUGACAUAACACCCCUAUAGUCACAUUUAGACUUGUAUUACCUAGGGGUGUGUAUUGGCAAGAAUCUGGCGAUACGAUACGUAUUACAAUACGAUAUAUCACGAUACUGUUAACAAGGUGAUAUUUUGUUUUUCUUAUAGUUAAAAAUUAUUUCCUGGAAAAACUGAAUUACACAUUUUUAUUUGAUUAGAACAGUAUGUUAUGCUGUAUCACAAACUUUCCUCUGUGUAGCAUUUGGAUGAAUAAAGCUUUAACAUUCAGCUUUAAAUUUACCAAAAAAAAGCCAUAAAAUAAAUAUAAUAAAUUUAAUAAAUUAAAUUAUGUCUCAAGGUCCUGCUCACAAACUUAAAGUGUAGCAUUUGGAUAAAUAAAGCUUUAACAUCCAGCUUAAAAUUAUUUUUUUAAAUUAAUUAAUAAAUUAAAUAAUUCAUAAUAAUAAUAUAAAUAAUAAUAAUUAAUACAUUUAAAAACCCAUAAAAAACAAAAUGGAUAAAAAGACAAAAUAGCAUUAAGAUUGAACAUUUGUAAAAAAAAAAAAAAUGGCAAAAAGGAUGUAAAAGUUCAUACUAAGUUGAUAUUAUUAUAUUAUUUUAUUUUGACGAAAUGAGCGGUACAGCAAUCGGCUUUCGCUAGCUCCGUCGCUAUGACGCUUUCUACGCUCAAAAUCAACUUUCUGAAAGCACAAAAAUGUGGCAUUAAUUACAUUUCCCUUUCACGGUUUUAUUCGUAGCUUUUCUGCUUUAAAUCCAUUUUUACAAUUUCCAAUCAAAAGACAGCAAAUGGCCCCCGGCCACACUUUGGACACCCCUACAUUGACUACGUAAGUGCUGCCACCUAACCAUCGGAGGUUUCAAUUCCAAUCAGAAAUGAACCUUUGCCGUGUCUGCACUUGAAUAAAUACCAUAUACAGAUAAAUGAUAAAUACCUAAAAAUAUCCAUAUCGUACUUUUUAAUAUCGAUACAGUAUCGUGGAACGACGUAUCGCGAUAUAUUGCCGAAACGAUAUUUUCUUCCACCCCUAAUAUUACCCGAUACAGUAGACAUAAUAAUAAUAUAAAAUAAGCCAUCCUGUCGUCACCUCAGACUGUAGAGGACGUGACCAUCAGGGAAGACCCUCAGCAUGAUGUUCUCAGUGGUGGUGUCAUGAAUGAAAGAUCUCUUGGAGUGGACAAAGAACACGUCAGGCACCCAGAUUUUCUUGACCAGGCGUCCGUCAAACGUCAUGCUCUUGUUGGUGGAACUGGGGAAGGCCAACCUCUCAUCCUUCCAGUAGUGACGCAGAUACAGGGUCAUAGUGAAGUCCUGGGAAAAAAAUAAUAACAGAAGAUUGAACCCAACAAAGCGUGUCCGUGAUUGUUUUGCCAUGAGUCGUUUCAUGAAUUCAAUUAUUUCUCACUUUCAGCUUCUACUUUUAUUUUGAUCACGGCUGCAAAACAACCCAAAAUGUAUCUAAAUAAGGUUGCAAAUGUUAGCGAAGGUGAGAGAGACUGUUGAAUUCAAGAAAUAAGUCAUGGCAAAACACAAAGGCGGUGUCCGUGUUGAUCUCGCCGCCAUAUCGUGUCUUUGUCAACAUGUAAAAGUAACCUAAAAUCUUAAUUUAUCCCUUUUUUUUUUUUAAUUCGCCAAUACUAUGGAUUUAGAAUUGUUUAUGCAUGAAAAACUAUUACUGUACAACUGUGGCCUAACUGUGUUAGCGAGCUAAGAACUACAAAGUCAACCGCCGAUGACAUCAUGACUUCUGCUUUCUAUUUGCAUGUAUUAGCAAGCUAAUAGGCUACAAAAUACACGUUUUGUGAUUUUAAAAAGUACAGUUCUACGACAAGAUGCGUGUUUUAUUAUCAGUUACCUGAAAAUGUACACAAACCGUAGCGACAUUUUGGCCAAAAAAUUGCUAACAUGCUAACUUGGCUUAAGCUAACUGAGAUUCCAUAUUAUUUGAACGAAUGUUCUUUUUUUCAUGAACUAAAAUUGUAAUUAUUCUCAAUAUAAUAGUUUUUGUUCAUAUUUAUGGGUGUCUUAUUGAUUCGGUCCUUUUUCAUAGGGUCUCAUCGAUACUCCACUAAGACAAUAAUCGUUAUUUGCAGCACUAAUGUUCGCAAUUUGAUGAGAAAAAAAUGUUUGCCUAAAAUAUAUCUGCUUUUUUUUCCGUUUUGUUUUUAAUCACCAUUAACAAAUUAUUGGAUCGAUACCAAAAUGUAAUCCAGCCGGCGUACGCCGCAGCUUUAAGACAUGAGAUAAUGUCAUCAGGAGAGAUUAACAGUCGUCCUGUGUCACAUCAAGCGAUAUCUGUCUGCUGUGCUUACUGAGCUUACGUAACAUCAGGAUGGCGGGUUUUUAGAUUCCGCUUAUGCUAACACAACAGAUGGAUGCUUUAAUUACGUUACUCAACAUGGAGCAAAACAAAACUUUAAUUCUGGUGAUCUUUCCGAAAAACAGCUGUUGAAUGACAACAUCUGAAAUGAUUCCCCGUAAUCCAAUCUUUUAAGCUUCCAUCUUAUGCCGUCACGGCGGCCAGCAGUGUUUAUUUCACUUUUCUUUGUCUUGUUGCAAAGACACGGACAUCUGUCCGUCUAACAAAUCUAUUAAAGGGGUGAUACCAUUGAAACCCCUGCUGAGUUUCUACGUUUAUCCUGUUGUUUAUCCUGUUAUAAAAACACUCCAUCCGUUUUAUGCUAGCUUUAUUGGAUUUAAACUCAUUGACGGGGUUCAUAGUUAGUGCAACUGUUAGUCUAACUGCUUUUGUACAAACGUCUGAGCCCCGUGGAAAACACAGCAAAUUUGGCUCGACAAAAUGGAAAAAAAAUGGUUCGCAUUAGGGCUGGGUUAAACGAUUAUUUCUGUAAUCGAUUCAUCAAAAAAAUAGUUUUUCGAUGCUUCGAUUAAUCCCUGAAAAGUCCCUGAUUAGUCCCUAGAAAAUAGUUUUUCGAUGCAUCGAUUAAUCCCUGAAAGUCCCUGAAAACAUAAACCACAAACACAUGCACAGGUUAAUAAAAAUAUAUAUCUCUAAAUGAUCUGCCAAUCACUCACCAUAUCUACUUCUGAUAUGCUGUCCAAACUCUCCACCUGAACAUCCACGCCGACAGGAACGGCUGGACCUGAAGACACAUUGGAUUCAAAAGAUGAAUGUCACAGCGACUCGUAGCGUACUCGGGUAGUAGCUCUUUCCCACAAGCCCAGUAUUUAGGUCUUGAUUUAGUUCUCUGUAAAUCACUAUUGUCUGCCGUUGGAGGAAGGUACAGUAGAACCUUGGUUAGCAUCAUUAAUCUAUUCCAGGAGGUCUGACUCUUAACCAAAAUGUAUGCUAACUGAAUCUAUUUUGUCCAUAAUAAAUAAUGUAAAUCCAAUUUAUCCGUUCCAAACAGCCAAAAAACUAAUUUUUGUUUCUUCUUUGCUAUUGUUGUGCCUGGUAAAGAAGGCGACCAUCGGUGGAGAAUAAUAAUAAUAAUAAUAAUAAUAAU